rnacentral:rRNA from 1 species
AUUGAACGCUGGCGGCAUGCCUUACACAUGCAAGUCGAACGGUAACAGGUCUUCGGAUGCUGACGAGUGGCGAACGGGUGAGUAAUACAUCGGAACGUGCCCGAUCGUGGGGGAUAACGCAGCGAAAGCUGUGCUAAUACCGCAUACGAUCUACGGAUGAAAGCGGGGGAUCGCAAGACCUCGCGCGGACGGAGCGGCCGAUGGCAGAUUAGGUAGUUGGUGGGAUAAAAGCUUACCAAGCCGACGAUCUGUAGCUGGUCUGAGAGGACGACCAGCCACACUGGGACUGAGACACGGCCCAGACUCCUACGGGAGGCAGCAGUGGGGAAUUUUGGACAAUGGGGGAAACCCUGAUCCAGCCAUGCCGCGUGCAGGAUGAAGGCCUUCGGUUGUAAACUGCUUUGUACGGAACGAAAGUACCGUUCUAAUAAAGAAGGCGUCAUGACGGUACCGUAAGAAUAAGACACCGGCGUAACUACGUGCCAGCAGCCGCGGUAAGCUAACG